GACGUAGGGCGCAAGCGUUGUCCGGAUUUAUUGGGCGUAAAGAGCUCGUAGGCGGCCUGUCGCGUCGACUGUGAAAACCCACGGCUUAACCGUGGGACUGCAGUCGAUACGGGCAGGCUAGAGUUCGGUAGGGGAGACUGGAAUUCCUGGUGUAGCGGUGAAAUGCGCAGAUAUCAGGAGGAACACCGGUGGCGAAGGCGGGUCUCUGGGCCGAUACUGACGCUGAGGAGCGAAAGCGUGGGGAGCGAACAGG
rnacentral:rRNA from 1 species